CAUCCGGAGCCCACUCCAGUGCAGUCCCUCCUUCCCAGGGCAUGAGAGCUUCCUUCGCCCUGCCUGGCCCUGCUGCCAGUGUGUGUCAUGGAGCCCUCUGAGUGUUGGCUUUGCAAUUCUCCUGUAGUGGGCUGGUAUUUCACAUCUAAUCCUCUUCCUUCUGAAAGAGGUGGAGUAGAUGUGUGUGCAGAAUACACUAUUGGGUAAAUCAAAACUUUGAACUGGAAUUAAAAAACUUGCCCCAGCUACUCAGCUCUGGUAUAAAAAUUAUUUUGCUGGACUUAAAAGACCUAAGCCUGCUGCCAAUGCUGUCCUUCAGAGCCUUUGCUAUGGAAAAUUGCAUUUUUUCAACCUGUGUAGAAAAAUUGCAGCUUAUGGGAUAUUGGGCCAUGUCAGGUAGGGCUUUUAGUCUUCCACAACUACCAAUACAUUGGACACAUUGGAUUCAAAAGAGGAUGGAUGGGAUUUCCAGCUUUAGGUGUUACAGAGGAAGGAGGAGGAAAUAUAAUGAGCAAAGUUAAUUGUAAGUGCAGGUUUGUAGGCCUGUGGUCACUACCAUAUAGUUGGUUUGCUGAUGAAAAGGUAGUAAGUCCUUGUGAGUUUGAUACCCAAACUCAUAUGAGUGGGUAUCAAAUUCAUAAGAUGCCCAAAAAUAUGUAAUCAUCCCUUCUCUUUCCCCUGUUUCUUCUUUCUAUUGUACCAGACUGCCAUUUGUUAUUUCACUCCCGGAGCUCAGAUACUGCCGAGUUCUGCCUGAACGUAGGCAAGAGAAGAACACUUCCUUCCUGCUGACUUGCUUGUCUGCCCAGACCUUCUGCAUGGAUGGGAUUCAGUGCGUGGCUGCUACCAGAAGGGGACAGUGUGCCCUCAGCAUCACACUGUCCGUGCCACAAAGCUCGGAGCUCUUUGCUACAUUGGCUGAACAAUCUGCCUCGGGAAACUUUUAUCAACAAUCACUGCAUUUCUAUUUUGCAUUAAGUGUCUUGCGUGAUUAUCAAAAUGUCCCUAAGAAAGCUGUCAGCAGAGAGGGAAUCAGAGCAGGCCAGAAGCCUCUAGAUUUUAAACUGACCCAAAACUGAAACAGGGAAACUCAAGACUAAGGUGUCAGACCAUGUUUUCCCAGGAGAACCUGGAUGCAGGAAUCUUUGGUACAUGGUUCUCAUGAGGAACAAAGCUCCUGAAACCCUCCAGGGUUCUUUGUAGCAGGGAGUUGACCUUACAUGUGUGCACAUCCAACAGAUUGAGUUUCUGGGAUGGGUUAUUUUGGAUGGGAGGAACUGUGGGAGCAGUAAAAUAUUUUUAAGUCAAAUUACCCACAUAAUAGCUGAACUCAUUUCCCAUCCUCUCUGGGCAUGGUAAAGCACUAUAGGUAGUUGCACUUUUUUGCAUUGGGAGUUUAUAUGUAUUUUUUCUCUGGUGUUUUUUGUAGAUCUUUUGUCAUCCUAAGAUCUUCAUUAUCAUCCAAAAAGUAUUAAAAACCUGAUAUUUAUCUUA